AACGAACGCUGGCGGCAGGCCUAACACAUGCAAGUCGAACGCCGUAGCAAUACGGAGUGGCAGACGGGUGCGUAACACGUGGGAACAUACCCUUUGGUUCGGAAUAACUCAGGGAAACUUGAGCUAAUACCGGAUAAGCCCUUACGGGGAAAGAUUUAUCGCCAAAGGAUUGGCCCGCGUCUGAUUAGCUAGUUGGUGAGGUAACGGCUCACCAAGGCGACGAUCAGUAGCUGGUCUGAGAGGAUGAUCAGCCACACUGGGACUGAGACACGGCCCAGACUCCUACGGGAGGCAGCAGUGGGGAAUAUUGGACAAUGGGCGCAAGCCUGAUCCAGCCAUGCCGCGUGAGUGAUGAAGGCCUUAGGGUUGUAAAGCUCUUUUACCCGGGAAGAUAAUGACGGUACCGGGAGAA
rnacentral:rRNA from 1 species